AUUAGCAUAAUACAAACAACAUUAAACCAAACCCAUAACACAAUGCUAUCAAUACUGGACCCUCAAGGCGACUCCUUGGAAAUCCCGCUGUUGCCCUGAGUUAUGGACAUCCCACAGCGUUUGUUCUGCAGGGUAGUAAAAAGGCAGAGACUGCUGGCAGGAGCUGCUAUGGCACCGUGAGCUGCAGCUGAUCUCCGGGGUGAGUGCAAAGGUUACCAUCACUACAGCUGUUCCACCCAGAGUCACAGAGCCUCACUCUAGGACACAAGCUAGCCUGGACUGCACGAGGACCCUCCAGCAAGAUGAAUGGUGCUUCUGAAAAUUUUUUCCCCAUUGAGGUUGUAUGGCUGAAAUUCACUUUUCUCACCAUUGACCUAUUGGACCUUGAUAACAUAGAAUUAAAAGCGAUUAAUCUGGAAA
rnacentral:lncRNA from 1 species